rnacentral:lncRNA from 1 species
AAAAGUGUAAUUUUAUUUUUACUAAUUUAAAAUUUUUAAAAAAUCUCAAGAGCCUAAAUAAUAAUUUUACAUUUUAGGAGAGGGCCAGCCCCUGCCAGCCCUCUUAGAUUCGCCCCUUUCUUUCUUGGAAGGUUUACUUAUUGCUUGUCUUGUGGAAAAAUAGCAUGAAACAUUUGUACCUCGCUUCCUUCUCAAAAAUAAUUACGACAUCGUUAUAAUGAAUUUUCUUUUUGUGAAUUACAAAUAGUGACUAGCGUAACUCGAAUCCAGGUCACACCUAGAGCGAUGAACACUCUUGAUCGACCAAUUUUAGCCCGGGCCUAGCACUAAAAGUAAACAGUUUAAAAACACACAAAAAAAAUGAGAAAAGUAAACCAAAAGGAUGUCCACAGUCCAAGUCCCUAGUACAAAACAACCCAAAUACACUAUACAAGCCCAACAUUCAAGACCCUAAAACCAAAUUAACAAAUCCUUAACCCAAAAUACGGGCCCAAACGGCCCAAAAGACUAAACCAAAUUUUAGCAAACCCUAGCCCUAGCAGCCGAGCCCCUCCAGCGCCUCCGUACGCUCCAGUGUUUCAGCAGCCACGCGCGCCUCCGUACGCCAGCUCCUGUACCCGAGCACCAGCACACCCCGUACCUGCAAAAAGGACGAACACAGCAGCAAAUACAAACAAAGAACAAAUAUUUCAUAUUUUUUAUUUAUUUUCUUUCUUUUUUUUUCGGCUAUAAAGCCAAGAUUUUAAUCUUUGUAAUCGGGGACGAAUGGAUUACACAAAAAAAAGAGCAAUCAAAUACAAAAAAGAAUCAAGGUGAUUUUCCGAUUCAAAAAUCUUGGAUUUCUUUUAGUUUCAUUCGUCUGGGUUUUGUUGUUCUUAUAUUCGAAAGAAAAAUAAAAAAAAAGUAAAAAGAGGGUCUUACCUGGGAAAUACGCCGUAAACCUCCUUCUGCUUUGUUGAAGUCAAAGCUAGGAGGAGAUCUUGAGGCUGAAAAAUCAUCUUCUGGGCCUAAAGGGGCAGGUUGUUGCCUGGGGGAUGGGAAUCGGUGGCUUGGGUGUUGAUCUAGGGUUCGUCUGAGAGACUUUAGUUCUUUUUUUACUUUGAUUUGUUAAUGGGGGGGGUUAGGUGUCUGAUUUGGUUUUUUUUUUUUAGG